rnacentral:rRNA from 1 species
UGGGGAAUAUUGCACAAUGGAGGGAACUCUGAUGCAGCAACGCCGCGUGCGGGAUGACGGCCUUCGGGUUGUAAACCGCUUUCAGCCAUGACGAAGCUUUUGUGACGGUAGUGGUAGAAGAAGCACCGGCUAACUACGUGCCAGCAGCCGCGGUGAUACGUAGGGUGCGAGCGUUGUCCGGAAUUAUUGGGCGUAAAGAGCUUGUAGGCGGUUUGUCGCGUCGAUAGUGUAAACACGCAGCUUAACUGUGUGCCUGCUGUCGAUACGGGCUGACUAGAGACGGGUAGGGGAGAAUGGAAUUCCCGGUGGAGCGGUGGAAUGCGCAGAUAUCGGGAGGAACACCAGUGGCGAAGGCGGUUCUCUGGACCUUUCCUGACGCUGAGAAGCGAAAGCGUGGGUAGCAAACAGG